rnacentral:miRNA from 1 species
CACACCUUAACACCAGUGCGCUGA